UACGUAGGGCGCAAGCGUUGUCCGGAAUUAUUGGCGUAAAGAGCUCGUAGGCGGCUGCUCAAGUCGAAUGUGAAACUCGAGGCUCAACCUCGAGCCUGCAUUCGAUACGGCGGACUAGAGUUCGGUAGGGGAGACUGGAAUUCCUGGUGUAGCGGUGAAAUGCGCAGAUAUCAGGAGGAACACCGGUGGCGAAGGCGGGUCUCUGGGCCGAUACUGACGCUGAGGAGCGAAAGCGUGGGGAGCAAACAGG
rnacentral:rRNA from 1 species